rnacentral:lncRNA from 1 species
CGAGAAGAUGUUAUUGAAGACGGUAAAGAAGAUGGUUUAGGUGGAGAAAGUGUAUAUAACCAUGGUAACAAGUAUGGUGGUAGAAAAGGGGGAUUUUGCUGUUGGUGUCGGAGGUGAACAAGGAAUCAAGGGGUUGAUGUUGUUGUUAGUGCCAUAAGCAAAGAAAAAAAAAUCAAGAGACAGAAAAUGAGAUACUGUUUGUU